CGAGAGUGCACCCCUCCCCCACAAUCUGAACUGCACUUAGACCAGGGCGACCAGGAUGACCAGAAGAUGGGCUGAGGGCACGAAACCUUCUCGUUGCAGAAUCUGUUGUUCCCCCAAAAGAAGAAUAGACUGAGAACUUAGCGUAUUUUCCUGAUGGACAGCAAGCUGUGCUGAGGAGUAUGAACAUCAUGGAGGAAAGAGCCAAACUGAUGCCACAAAUUUCAGCUUGAGGAAAUUUCUAGAUAGAGAUAAGAUGGUCUGUCUGAUCCUUUAAUGGCUUCAUCUCAGGAGAAGAAAAGAUGCUAUUUGUCAGAAGUUCAGGACAGAGGGGUUUGAGACAUAUUGCCUGUCUUAAUCAAGAACAGGAGAACGCACAUGAGAAAAAUGUCUUCAAUUUUGGUACUCUGCCAGUGUAGAGUCAGUUAAAAGCCACUGGUAAUAAAUGUUCUCAACUUCUGAUUGCUUUUUCUCUUUUCUCUGCAGCUUCUACAAAUGCAGGGCAGAGUUCUCAAACAAGCUGUGGAGCAGCGAGCUCUCAAACUCUGGGUUUUUUAGCACCCUGCUGACAAGCUGGCGACAACAAGAGCUGUAAAUUGUUUAGGUCAGACUGGGCCUCUGAGAUGAGAAUUUCUUCCAGGCUGGCGAUAAGGGGCUCAGCCACAGGUAAAGGACUAAAGGUCUUUAGAAUCUUUAUUUAUCUCCACAUCACCAUGGCUAAUGGAAUUUCAUGAUGUCACCCUGGAACGGCACCAUGAAUGUAUUACAGGGACAACUGCGCUGGAACAACCUGGGGUUGAGUGCCUUUCAAGCACACAAUGGUGACAGUUCAUGAUUCUUUGCGAGAAAUGAACUAGCAACCUUCUGGAUUCCAGCACUGAGCUCUGACCACUACACCCCAAUAGGGCUGGGCAAUAUAUGGAAUAUUUGGGAUAUAUUCUCACUGAUUUUGCUGGUGAUAUAAAAUUAACUAAUAUUGUUAAUAUCUCAAAGAUUUUAAUGCAUUUUAAUGCACAGCUCAUUAAGUUUACUAAAGAGACUCUCAGUCUAGUUUGACUCGCAUAUGAUUAUGACAGCAAUAAGAUGUUUUAAGAGUGUCAGACUUAAACUUAUGUACUAAAAACAGCGUUAAAGUUGGUAAGUGCUUUUAAUUCCCACGAAUCAGUUCAAACUGUCUGCUUUGAUUAAUCAAAUAAAAAAUUAUA